CCUACGGGAGGCAGCAGUGAGGAAUAUUGGUCAAUGGACGAGAGUCUGAACCCGCCACGUAGCGUGAAGGAUGACUGCCCUAUGGGUUGUAAACUUCUUUUAUAUGGGAAUAAAAUGUUCCACGUGUGGGAGUUUGUAUGUAGCAUAAGAAUAAGGAUCGGCUAACUCCGUGCCAGCAGCCGAGGUAAUACAGAGGUCUCACGCGGUGUUAGGAAUCACUGGGCGUAAAGCGCUCGUAGGCGGUAUGUCAAGUCAAGGGUGAAAUCCACGCGCUACACGUGGGAACUGCCUUUGAAACUGGCAAACUCGAGUGUGUGAGUGGAUAGUGGAAUUCCAGGUGUAGGAGUGAACUCCGUAGAUAUCUGGAGGAACAUCAGUGGCGAAGGCGACUAUCUGGCACAUAACUGACGCUGAGGAGCGAAAGCGUGGGUAGCAAACAGGAUUAGAUACCCUGGUAGUC
rnacentral:rRNA from 1 species